AGUGAACGCUGGCGGUAGGCCUAACACAUGCAAGUCGAACGGCAGCACAGUAAGAGCUUGCUCUUACGGGUGGCGAGUGGCGGACGGGUGAGGAAUACAUCGGAAUCUACUUUUUCGUGGGGGAUAACGUAGGGAAACUUACGCUAAUACCGCAUACGACCUACGGGUGAAAGCAGGGGGUCUUCGGACCUUGCGCGAUUGAAUGAGCCGAUGUCGGAUUAGCUAGUUGGCGGGGUAAAGGCCCACCAAGGCGACGAUCCGUAGCUGGUCUGAGAGGAUGAUCAGCCACACUAGAACUGAGACACGGUCCAGACUCCUACGGGAGGCAGCAGUGGGGAAUAUUGGACAAUGGGCGCAAGCCUGAUCCAGCCAUACCGCGUGGGUGAAGAAGGCCUUCGGGUUGUAAAGCCCUUUUGUUGGGAAAGAAAAGCAGCAGGUUAAUACCCCGCUGUUCUGACGGUACCCAAAGAAUAAGCACCGGCUAACUUCGUG
rnacentral:rRNA from 1 species